AGCGAACGCUGGCGGCAGGCCUAACACAUGCAAGUCGAACGAACCUUUCGGGGUUAGUGGCGGACGGGUGAGUAACACGUGGGAACGUGCCUUUAGGUUCGGAACAACUCAGGGAAACUUGUGCUAAUACCGAAUGUGCCCUUCGGGGGAAAGAUUUGUCGCCUUGAGAGCGGCCCGCGUCUGUUUAGCUAGUUGGUUGAGGUAAUGGCUCACCUAGGCGACGAUCAGUAGCUGGUCUGAGAGGAUGAUCAGCCACAUUGGGACUGAGACACGGCCCAAACUGCUACGGGAGGCAGCAGUGGGGAAUCUAGCGCAAUGGGCGGAAGUCUGACACAGCCAGGCCGGGUGAAUGGGGAAGGUCUUAGGAUUGUAAAAUUCUUUCUCCGGGGACGUUAAUGACGGUACCCGGAGAAGAAGCCCCGGCUAACUUCGUG
rnacentral:rRNA from 1 species